rnacentral:rRNA from 1 species
UGAGCAAUCUGCCCUUCUCAUCGGAAUAAGCGUUGGAAACAACGUCUAAUGCCGAAUACGACCUCCUUUCGCAUGAUCGGAGGUGGAAAGCUCCGGCGGAGAAGGAUGAGCUCGCGGCCUAUCAGCUAGUUGGUGUGGGUAAUGGCCCACAAGGCGACGACGGGUAGCCGGCCUGAGAGGGUGACCGGCCACACUGGGACCGAGACACGGCCCAGACUCCUACGGGAGGNAGCG